AUUGAACGCUGGCGGCAGGCUUAACACAUGCAAGUCGAGCGGAGAUGAGGUGCUUGCACCUUAUCUUAGCGGCGGACGGGUGAGUAAUGCUUAGGAAUCUGCCUAUUAGUGGGGGACAACAUUCCGAAAGGAAUGCUAAUACCGCAUACGCCCUACGGGGGAAAGCAGGGGAUCUUCGGACCUUGCGCUAAUAGAUGAGCCUAAGUCGGAUUAGCUAGUUGGUGGGGUAAAGGCCUACCAAGGCGACGAUCUGUAGCGGGUCUGAGAGGAUGAUCCGCCACACUGGGACUGAGACACGGCCCAGACUCCUACGGGAGGCAGCAGUGGGGAAUAUCGGACAAUGGGCGGAAGCCUGAUCUAGCCAUGCCGCGUGUGUGAGGAAGGCCUUUUGGUUGUAAAGCACUUUAAGCGAGGAGGAGGCUACUGAGACUAAUACUCUUGGAUAGUGGACGUUACUCGCAGAAUAAGCACCGGCUAACUCUGUGCCAGCCGCCGCUGUAAAAC
rnacentral:rRNA from 1 species